rnacentral:lncRNA from 1 species
GUGAACUUAUUUCAGAAACAUUUGUUCUUUUUGAAGUUGUCCAUAAUAUUUUGCAUUGGUCUCUAGUAUGCUUGUACUAAAGAUCAAAUAUACUUCCAGUGCUACAAAUGUGCUAGUAAGAAAAACAUUACAAAUACUAAUUGUAUUGUAAAAGUGUAACUAAGAUGAGCUUAUGUUAGGGAACCCUGAAGGUUGGAGUCUAGGUGAGUUUAUUUUGGAAGGGUGAAUGUUAGGAUAGUUGAUUUUGGAAGGGUGAAUGUUAGGUGAUUUUACAUGUCUGAGUUUCACAUAUAAAAAGAGAAUGAAAGAGCAAUAUAUGAUUACUAAGAGACAUAAGAGACAUAAAAUCAUGUUUUGAUGUUGAAUUUUAGCAAAACAAGUUUAAUUUCCAUAGCUUUGCUUUUG